rnacentral:rRNA from 1 species
CGCCCUUCAGAGGGGGACAACAGUUGGAAACGACUGCUAAUACCGCAUACGAUCUAACCUCGGCAUCGAGGAAAGAUGAAAGGUGGCCUCUAUGUAUAAGCUAUCACUGAAGGAGGGGAUUGCGUCUGAUUAGCUAGUUGGAGGGGUAACGGCCCACCAAGGCGAUGAUCAGUAGCCGGUCUGAGAGGAUGAACGGCCACAUUGGGACUGAGACACGGCCCAG